AUUGAACGCUGGCGGCAGGCCUAACACAUGCAAGUCGAACGAGUGGCGGACGGGUGAGUAAUGUCUGGGAAACUGCCCGAUGGAGGGGGAUAACUACUGGAAACGGUAGCUAAUACCGCAUACCAUCGGAUGUGCCCAGAUGGGAUUAGCGAGUUGGGGGGGUAACGGCUCACCUAGUCGACGAUCCCUAGCUGGUCUGAGAGGAUGACCAGCCAAACUGGAACUGAGACACGGUCCAGUCUCCUACGGUAGGCAGCAGUGGGGAAUAGUGCACAAUGGGCGCAAGCCUGAUGCAGCCAUGCCGCGUGUAUGAAGAAGGCCUUCGGGUUGUAAAGUACUUUCAGCGAGGAGGCGUUACUCGCAGAAGAAGCACCGGCUAACUCCGUGCCAGCAGCCGCGGUAAUUC
rnacentral:rRNA from 1 species